GACGAACGCUGGCGGCGUGCUUAACACAUGCAAGUCGAACGAAGUGGCGAACGGGUGUGUAACGUGUAAUCAACCUGCCCUUCAGUGGGGGACAACAGUUGGAAACGACUGCUAAUACCGCAUACUGAAGAUGGGGUUGUCGUCUGAUUAGUUCGUUGGGGGGGUAACGGCCCACCACGGCGAGGAUCAGGAGCCGGUCUGGGAGGAUGAACGGCCACAUUGGGACCGAGACACGGGCCAGACUCCUACGGGAGGCAGCAGUGGGGAAUCUUCCGCAAUGGACGAAAGUCUGGCGGAGCAACGCCGCGGGAGUGAUGACGGCCUUCGGGUUGUAAAGCUCUGUUAAUCGGGACGCGGUACCGGAAUAGAAAGCCACGGCUAACUACGUGCCAGCAGCCGCGGUAAUUC
rnacentral:rRNA from 1 species